rnacentral:misc_RNA from 1 species
GCAUUUUCCACCCUUUUGUCGUGGGGGGUGAGCUUUACACCGCGCCAUCUUCACUUUUAUGCCUGGGAAGUAAUCAAGGCGUGCGGAUUAUUAGUAAUUUAUUUCGUUUUGCGGCGUUUUAAAUACAACCUAGGUUUGAUUAAUAUAAUCAUAACAUGCCUGGAUCAGACCUGAGUGAAGAUGAAGGGGAAAAUAUAACGAUUGAUUGUGUUGAAGGGCAACAAGAAGAAGAGACGGAAGAACUCGGUAACGGAGGCGAGGAAGAGGCAGCUUUGGAUGAGACCAACGAAGAAAUAGACACUACCGCCGACCCCGAACCAGAGACCGUCGAAGGAACCGGUGUCGAUGGAGAUACACCUCCCAAGAAGAAGAAAAGAAAGAACAAGAAAAAGGAAAAGAAAGAAGGAAAAGGAGGAAAGAAAAGGAAACGAGAAGAGAAAGCCAGUGGGGAUGAGGAGGUCGCAGCAGCAGCAGCAGGUAGUGAUGUUGAUCUACCGGUAGGUGUUGAUGAAGAGGUCAAGCCCAAAAAAAAGAAAAAAGAUUCUGUUCCAAAGGAACCAAAAGAACAGAAGAGCUCUCUUCAGCUGAUGCAUGAGUUUGGUUACGAAGAGUUUGAGAUGGAGUAUGAAGAUGAGGACUAUGAAAAGAUGACAACCUAUAAACAGUAUUGUAUUGGAAUCCGACCGCUCAUACAGGAAAAGUGUCCGAAGAUCACACCAACAAAGAUGAUCACAUUGCUUGCUGCCCUCUGGAGGGAAUUUUCAUUGAUCAACCCUUUCAAAGACGAAGUAAAGAAGAAAAAGAAGAAUAGAAAAGUUGCUCCUCUUAGAAUUAAGCUUGGAGGAAGAAAACGAAAAGCAUCCUCAAGUGACAGUGGCAGUAAUUAUAGCGAAACUGAACUACUGGAAGAAGAAGCCCCCGCACCUUCCGACACAGUGGUGAGUAAGACGACAGCGCGUCGUCCCAGACCCCGCAAACCGCAGAAGAAACGUAAAAAGAAAACAACAAGUUUUCCCGGUGAAGAUGGCUACGAGACUGACCAUCAGGAUUAUUGUGAGGUCUGUCAACAAGGAGGAGAGAUCAUUUUGUGUGACACCUGUCCCAGAGCUUACCAUCUUGUGUGUCUUGAUCCUGAGCUGGAGGCUGCCCCUGAAGGCAAGUGGAGCUGCCCGCACUGUGAAGGAGAAGGGAUUCAAGCUGAGGAGGAGCCUGAUGAACACAUGGAGUUCUGUCGUGUGUGUCACGAUGGUGGUGAGCUGUUGUGUUGCGAUCAGUGUCCGUUGUCAUAUCACAUCUUCUGUCUGAACCCGCCCUUGAAGCAGAUCCCAGAUGGUGAAUGGCUCUGUCCAAGAUGUUCGUGUGAAUCUCCAAAGGGUAGAGUGCAGAAGAUAUUGACAUGGCGUUGGACAACACCUCCAGUGAACAUGGAUCCCCUGGACCCACAGUGUGGCAGUCCAACCAAGAAAGAACCUGGUGUAAAGCCAACACGCGAGUUCUUCUGCAAGUUUCACAUGAUGUCCUAUUGGCAUAGUGAUUGGGUGUCCGAGUUACAGCUUGAAGUUUUUCAUACCAUCAUGCAUCGUAACUACAUCCGCAAAACUGACAUGGAGGAACCGCCUCCACUUGAGGAUGGUGAAAGUUAUGGUGGCGCUAAUGAAGCAAAGAAAAAGGAAGAACAAUCUAAACCAGAGGAUGAUGUCGGAGACCCAGAUCAUCUUGAUCUUGAGAAUCGUUUCUACCGCUAUGGCAUCCAACCAGAGUGGCUCCAGAUUCAACGGAUCAUCAACAUGAAAACAGAUCGUUCUGGAACCAUUUGGUACUUCAUAAAGUGGAGGAUGCUGCCAUACGAUCAGUGUGCCUGGGAACUCGAGGAUGCUGUACGAAAGAUGCCAGAUGGACAGAAACAGAUUGACUACUUCUUCAACUUAAAGGAACAGAUUGAUCAAAAAGAUGGGAAGAAGAAAAGAGAUAAGAAAAAGAAGAAGGAUGGAAAAGAAGAUAAUAAAGACAAGAAGAAAGAGAAGAAAGAAAAAGAAAAACCAGAACCUGUGGUUGAUCCACGCAAGAAGUAUGAACAGCAGCCUGACUACAUCUCAGAGUGUGGCGGGAAUCUGCAUGGUUACCAGCUAGAAGGCCUUAAUUGGCUGCGUUACUCCUGGGCUCACAAUACAGACACUAUCCUAGCAGAUGAAAUGGGACUCGGCAAGACGAUCCAAACUAUUGCAUUUCUAUACAGUUUAUUUAAGGAGGGACAUUCAAAAGGCCCGUUCAUUAUCUCUGCGCCAUUAUCAACAAUCAUCAACUGGGAGCGAGAAUUUGAAUUCUGGGCUCCAGAUUUUUAUGUUGUUACUUACAUUGGCGAUAAGGAUAGCAGGGCUGUCAUUAGAGAACAUGAAUUCUCAUUCGAGGAUGAUGCUGUGAAAGGUGGAAAAAAAGCGUACAGGAUGCGCAAAGACUGCACGGUGAAGUUCCACGUUCUGCUGACAUCCUACGAACUCUGUAGCAUUGAUGCUGGAACCUUGCAGUCUGUUGACUGGGAAGUACUUGUUGUGGAUGAAGCACACAGGCUAAAGAACAAUCAGUCAAAGUUUUUCCGUAUCCUCAGUGGAUACAGCAUCAAAUCUAAACUGCUUCUUACCGGCACACCACUCCAGAAUAACCUUGAGGAAUUGUUUCAUUUACUCAACUUCAUGGCAUCUGCAAAAUUCAAUAAUCUCCAAGUUUUCUUGGAGGAGUUUGAGGAUAUUUCAAAGGAAGAUCAGAUCAAGAAACUGCAUGACAUGUUGGGACCACACAUGUUGCGUCGUCUUAAGGCAGACGUGCUUAAGAACAUGCCCUCUAAGAGCGAGUUCAUUGUACGUGUUGAUCUCUCACCUCUUCAAAAGAAAUACUACAAGUAUAUCUUGACCCGCAACUUUGAAGCUUUGAACUCCAAAGGAAGUGGUCACCAGGUGUCGCUGCUUAACAUCAUGAUGGACCUCAAGAAAUGUUGCAAUCAUCCGUACCUGUUCCCAACAGCAGCAUUGGAAGCACCUCGUCUUCCCAAUGGAGCAUAUGAAGUGAAUGCUUUGACAAAAUCUGCCGGGAAGUUGACUUUACUGAGCAAGAUGUUGGUUAAGCUGAAAGUUGAUGGUCACAGGGUGCUCAUUUUUUCACAGAUGACCAAAGUUCUUGAUUUACUCGAGGACUUCUGCGAAGGGGAAGGCUACAAGUAUGAACGUAUUGAUGGAGGUAUUACUGGAAAUUUGCGUCAAGAAGCCAUUGAUAGAUUUAACUCACCGGGUGCACCACAGAUGGUGUUCCUCCUCUCCACACGUGCUGGAGGUCUAGGUAUCAAUUUGGCCACUGCAGAUACUGUCAUCAUCUACGACUCGGAUUGGAACCCGCACAAUGACAUCCAGGCAUUCAGUCGAGCGCAUCGUAUUGGUCAAGCAAACAAGGUUAUGAUAUACAGAUUUGUGACAAGGUCUUCUGUGGAAGAGCGAAUCACACAGGUUGCUAAGAAGAAAAUGAUGUUGACCCACUUAGUUGUACGCUCUGGUCUUGGAGCUGGUAGCACCAACAAGGCAGCCAUGAGCAAGAAAGAACUUGAUGACAUUCUAAAGUUUGGAACUGAAGAACUCUUCAAAGAUGAUAUUGAUGGCAAGGAUGAUGAACUUGUGAUCCGUUGGGAUGAUAAAGCAGUUGCAGAUCUUCUGGACCGUGACAAAGAGGUAAAAGAUGAUGAUGAAGAGGAGCAGCAGAAGAAUGAAUGGGGUGCUAAUGAAUACCUGAGUUCUUUCAAGGUGGCUAGCUACACCACCAAGCAGGAAGAGGAGUCAGACGAGGAGGAGACGGAAGUCAUCAAACAGGAGCUGGAGCCAUCUGAUCCGGCCUACUGGGAAAAGCUCCUCCGACAUCACUACGAGCAGCAGCAGGAAGAUCUGGCACGGACUCUUGGGAAGGGAAAGAGAAUACGAAAACAGGUUAACUACAAUGAUGGUGCACAGGGAGAUGCUGCUUGGGAUGACAAACUCAGUGAUUACAACAGUGAUUAUUCUGUGCAUACAGAUGAAGAAGAGGAUGAAGACUUCGAUGAGAAAUCAGAACUCAGACGCAGUAGAAGACAAGAAAGAGACAAGGAUAAGUUGCCUCCUCUGUUGGCUAGAGUUGGAGGCAGUAUUGAGGUUCUUGGUUUCAACGCACGUCAACGUAAGGCGUUCCUCAAUGCCAUCAUGCGAUGGGGAAUGCCACCGCAAGAUCCGUAUAACUCUCAAUGGAUGGUCCGAGAUCUGCGGGGAAAGCCUGAAAAGCAUUUCAAAGCUUAUGUUUCACUCUUCAUGCGUCACCUUUGUGAGCCUGGCUCAGACAACACAGAGACAUUCUCAGAUGGUGUACCCAGAGAAGGAUUGUCACGUCAACAUGUUUUGACGAGGAUUGGCGUAAUGAGUCUUAUAAGAAAAAAGGUUCUUGAGUUUGAGCCGGUCAACGGAAAGAUCAGUUUGCCAGGAUCAGUCGACAUCAAUGCCAUCACUGGAAAAGUUGGUUCCCGCCAGUCAUCAGCUACACCAUCACCAGUGCCGACUCCCAAGAAUGCUGGUUCUCCAGCAGUAAAUGCAGACUCUAAGACCAAGGCAGAGAACCUCAAAGAUGAAGCCAGGUCUGAGGCUGCUUCGCCAGCUGUUGGAUCUCCUGCUGUAGAUGGCAUCAAAGAUGAGGCUAGGUCUUCUGCAAGUUCUCCAGCACCUGUUGCUGAUAACGCUAGUGCCCCUGUUGCUGAUAAUGCUAGUGCCCCUGCUUCUGAUAACGCUGGUGCUCCUGCUGCUGUAAAAGAAAUCAAAGAAAAGGCAGAUGAAGAAGAAAAUGAAAAAGGAGAAGAGAAAAAAUCUGUUGAAAAUGAGAAUGAAGCAACUGAAGAAAAGAAAAAUGAAACAGACACUAAAGAAGAAUCAACAGAAGAGAAAAUGGAAACCAAUGCUAAACCAGAUGAAUCAGAAGUAAAGGAAGAUGCUAAAGAAGAUGAAAAGAAAGAUGAGGAGAAGAAAGAUGAUGAAACAGAGAAGAAAGAUGAAGAAACCAAGGAAGAAAAAGCAGAGGAAGAAAAAGCAGAGAAUAAUCAGGAAGAGAAGAUGGAUGUAGAUCCACCUAAAGAUGAAAAUAGUGAAGAGAAAGAACAGAGUGGUGAGGGUGAGGCAAAGGAAGAAAAGAAAAUUGAAGAAUCAAAAGAAGAAAAGGAGGAAAGUGCAGCUGAUCAGAAAAAAACCGAAGUGAAAGAAGAGACAGAAGAGAAGAAAGAUGACAAAGAACAAGAAAACAAACCAGAUACUGAAACAAAGAAAGAUGUAAAAGACGAGAAAACUAGUUCCAAUGAUACAUCCAAGACUGAUUCAAAAGGAGAAAAGAAAGAGGUGAAGGAUGAAUCAAAAACAGGAAAGGAAGAGAAGAAAGAAGACAAGACAUUUGUCUUCAAUAUUGCUGAUGGUGGCUUCACAGAGCUGCAUACCCUCUGGUUGAAUGAAGAAAGAGCUGCCAAGAGUUCUGGUGAUAGAGGUGAUGAGAUCUGGCAUCGAAAACAUGACUUCUGGCUACUUAGUGGCAUUGUCAAACAUGGGUAUGGCCGAUGGCAGGACAUCCAGAAUGACCAGUGCUACAUGCUGAUCAAUGAACCAUUCAAAGUGGACGUUGGCAAGGGUAACUACCUUGAAAUGAAAAAUAAAUUCUUAGCAAGAAGAUUUAAGCUUCUGGAGCAGGCCCUAGUAAUUGAAGAGCAGUUAAGGCGUGCAGCUUACUUGAACCUUACACAGGAUCCAAACCAUCCAGCGAUGGCUUUGAAUGCGCGUUUUGCAGAGGUCGAGUGCCUUGCAGAGAGCCAUCAACACUUGUCCAAGGAAAGCCUAGCUGGGAACAAACCUGCCAAUGCUGUCUUGCACAAAGUAUUAAACCAAUUGGAGGAGCUCCUAAGUGAUAUGAAGUCUGAUGUGGCACGUUUACCUGCCACCCUCUCCCGCAUCCCACCAGUUGCGGCAAGACUACAGAUGACAGAACGUAGCAUCCUCAGCAGGCUCGCCACCAGAGACUCACAAUCAUCAGCAUCAAAGUCUCAGAGCCAGUCACAGCAGCAGGCGUCGCAUGCAUCUUCCUCACCGGCAUCAACACCAGCCCCAGCACCAGCACAUGAGUCCUCCCAGUCCAGCCAACAUCAACAGCAUGCCAGCUUCAGCUCCCAGAACCCUUAUGCAUCAUACAAGCCCAAUGCAAGCUUUGGAGGCAGUUUCGCCACAAACUACACCAUGUACAGACCCUCUGGCCAAUAUGGCAACCAGUAUUCCAGCAAAAAAAGUAAGUGCGCAACCUGUUCCUCAAGGUAAUGUACAGGUGCUGCCAGGCUCCAGUCAACCACAGGUGGUGAAAUCCCACCAACCCUCCACCAGUAACUACUACUCAACCAUGCUGAGUAAUGCCUCAAGUGCCAUCUCAAACUCAAAAGGUUCGCAUUCUGGCAAGGCCAUCCCACCGGUAGCACACCAGGGCUCAAGUAAAGCUUCCGAAGGAGGCCUAG